rnacentral:rRNA from 1 species
GAUGAACGCUAGCGGCAGGCUUAACACAUGCAAGUCGAGGGGUAACAUUGGUGCUUGCAUCAGAUGACGACCGGCGCACGGGUGCGUAAUAUAUAGGUAACGUGCCCUAGAGAAGAGGAUAACAUUUGGAAACGAAUGCUAAGACUCUAUAUGCCUUUAUCCCAUAAGGGAGCAAGGGAAAUAUUUAUAGCUCUAGGAUCGGCCUGUACGGUAUCAGUUAGUUGGUGAGGUAAUGGCUCACCAAGACAAUGACACCUAACUGGUUUGAGAGGAUGAUCAGUCACACUGGAACUGAGACACGGUCCAG